rnacentral:rRNA from 1 species
GCUACGGGUGGCAGCAGUGGGGAAUAUUGGGCAAUGGAGGAAACUCUGACCCAGCAACGCCGCGUGAAGGAUGAAGGUUUUCGGAUUGUAAACUUCUGUUGCGAGGGAUGAAGAAUGACGGUACCUCGUGAGGAAGCCCCGGCAAACUACGUGCCAGCCGCCGCGGUAAUACGUAUGGGGAAAGCUUUGGCGGGAAUGACUGGGCGUAAAGGGAGCGGAGGAGGCCUUUUAAGUUAUCUGUGAAGGACCCAGGCUUAACAGAGGAACUGCAUAUAACAAUGGAGGGCUGGAGUGCAGGAGAGGUAAGAGGAAUUUCUAGUGUAGCGGUGGAAUGCGUAGAUAUUAGGAAGAACACCGGAGGCGAAGGCGGCUUACUGGACUGUAACUGACGCUGAGGCUCGAAAGCGUGGGGAGCAAACAGGAUUAGAUACCCCAGUAGUC